rnacentral:tRNA from 1 species
CCGACGAUAGCUCAGUCGGUAGAGCGGAGGACUGUAGGGGUUGUGCAGUGAUCCUAAGGUCGGUGGUUCGAAUCCGCCUCGUCGGA